AGUAUGUUUCUAUGAACGAAGCAAGGUCAAUUAAAGAAAACCAAGCUCUGAUCUUGGAAAAACUUGAAAGUUUUGGCAAACUUUUAAAUGGAAGUUCACAUCUUGCACAUCAAAGCGCUGAAGAAUUGAAAAUAAUAAAUAAUUUAUUUGACUUGAUAAGGAAGAAGUAAAAUUAGAAGAAAAAGCAUAUAUGAAAAUGAAGAAAUUACAAUUAAUGUCAAUUUGUGGCAAGAAUGUGCGAAAUUCAGUGAAAAUGUUUUGGAUGCAAUGUUUACAAGAUCACUCCAGCAACAGUUUAGUAAAGAUGGCCUAAAAGGCAAGCGUGCUUUUGUUAAGACAAAUCAUUACAAAUGUCUUAUAGGUAAAACUGUAUAUUUAGUAUUGGCUUUUUUAUUUUAAAUUUAAACCUGUUUUAGAUAUUCUUUUUUAUAAAUAUAUAGAAAUUCAUGACUUUGAAUUAAUAGUUUGUAACAAUAAUGGUGGCUGUCUUGUUGUUGUGUUUAGGUUUAUACUUGAGUUUGUAAAGUUAUGCGAAGAAAAUUAUUUUAGACCACAUGACUUGUUGCCUAACUGGUUUAUUUUAGGCCUCGAGCUAGUUUUAAAGUUUUUCUAGAAAUCCAAAUAGUUCAAUGUUUUUUGAUCAUCUGUUUGACAAUAAGAAUUAACAUAGGAAUGCUCAAUUUUCUUAAAAUUAAUUUUUCAUGAAAACAUUAUUAUAUUGUAAAAGUUUUUGUUAAUCUUAUAUUAUAUUGAAUAUAUACAGCUCUAACACAUCUUGUAUUUUUAUUAUGUACACUACAAGAGUCUGAUAUGAGGAGCUAGUAAUCCGAUAAUAAUUUUAUUUCUUAUAAAUCACAUUAAUUGAUGUCAAAUUAUUAUCUUUUUUUGUAGGAGCGAUAGUUGAUCCAGCAAAGGACAACUAUAACAAAAGUUCAGUUGAUUACCUUGUUGAUGACUUAAAACGAGCUGUCAAAAAGUAGUUGUCGAAAACACACCCUGAACACCCUAAUUUGCUUAAACACCCUAAUAAUUCCUAACACCCUGAACACCCUAAUAUGCUUAUACUUUUUGUUGUGAAACAUGUUUUGUUUUUGUGAUUCUUUAGCAUGCCAAUUCUAUUUUGAAACUUUACUCAAUUAUAUUUGAUUAAAACAAAACUUUUUAUCAAUUUAUGUUAA